UCUAUCCAAGAUCUGCGUGUC
rnacentral:piRNA from 1 species